CGGGGCGUAGCUUAGCCCGGUAGAGCGCCUGCUUUGGGAGCAGGAGGUCGCGGGUUCGAAUCCCGCCGCCCCGA
rnacentral:tRNA from 1 species